GACGAACGCUGGCGGCGUGCUUAACACAUGCAAGUCGAGCGGUAAGGCCCUUUCGGGGUACGACGAGCGGCGAACGGGUGAGUAACACGUGGGUGACCUGCCCUCAGCUCUGGGAUAAGCCCGGGAAACUGGGUCUAAUACCGGAUAUGACUUCAUGACGCAUGUUGUGGAGUGGAAAGCCUUGUGCGGCUGAGGAUGGGCCCGCGGCCUAUCAGCUUGUUGGUGGGGUGAUGGCCUACCAAGGCGACGACGGGUAGCCGGCCUGAGAGGGCGACCGGCCACACUGGGACUGAGAUACGGCCCAGACUCCUACGGGAGGCAGCAGUGGGGAAUCUUGCGCAAUGGGCGAAAGCCUGACGCAGCGACGCCGCGUGAGGGAUGACGGCCU
rnacentral:rRNA from 1 species